rnacentral:rRNA from 1 species
CGAACAACAGGGAUUGCCCUAGUAACGGCGAGUGAAGCGGCAACAGCUCAAAUUUGAAAUCUGGCUCUUUCAGAGUCCGAGUUGUAAUUUGCAGAGGGCGCUUUGGCUUUGGCAGCGGUCCAAGUUCCUUGGAACAGGACGUCACAGAGGGUGAGAAUCCCGUACGUGGUCGCUAGCUAUUGCCGUGUAAAGCCCCUUCGACGAGUCGAGUUGUUUGGGAAUGCAGCUCUAAAUGGGAGGUAAAUUUCUUCUAAAGCUAAAUAUUGGCCAGAGACCGAUAGCGCACAAGUAGAGUGAUCGAAAGAUGAAAAGCACUUUGGAAAGAGAGUCAAACAGCACGUGAAAUUGUUGAAAGGGAAGCGCUUGCAGCCAGACUUGCUUGCAGUUGCUCAUCCGGGCUUUUGCCCGGUGCACUCUUCUGCAGGCAGGCCAGCAUCAGUUUGGGCGGUGGGAUAAAGGUCUCUGUCAUGUACCUCUCUUCGGGGAGGCCUUAUAGGGGAGGCGACAUACCACCAGCCUAGACUGAGGUCCGCGCAUCUGCUAGGAUGCUGGCGUAAUGGCUGUAAGCGGCCCGUCUUGAAACACGGACCAAGGAGUCUAACAUCUAUGCGAGUGUUUGGGUGUCAAGCCCGAGCGCGUAAUGAAAGUGAACGGAGGUGGGAACCCGCAAGGGUGCACCAUCGACCGAUCCUGAAGUUUACGGAAGGAUUUGAGUAAGAGCAUGGCUGUUGGGACCCGAAAGAUGGUGAACUAUGCUUGAAUAGGGUGAAGCCAGAGGAAACUCUGGUGGAGGCUCGCAGCGGUUCUGACGUGCAAAUCGAUCGUCAAAUUUGGGCAUAGGGGCGAAAGACUAAUCGAACUAUCUAGUAGCUGGGUUCCUGCCGAG